UACGUAGGGUGCAAGCGUUGUCCGGAAUUAUUGGGCGUAAAGAGCUCGUAGGCGGUUUGUCGCGUCUGGUGUGAAAAUCCAGGGCUUAACCCUGGACCUGCAUCGGGUACGGGCAGGCUAGAAUUCGGUAGGGGAGACUGGAAUUCCUGGUGUAGCGGUGAAAUGCGCAGAUAUCAGGAGGAACACCGGUGGCGAAGGCGGGUCUCUGGGCCGAUAUUGACGCUGAGGAGCGAAAGCGUGGGGAGCGAACAGG
rnacentral:rRNA from 1 species